AUGUGGACGAGACCAGAAGCAAGUUUUCCCGUAGCAUCCGUGAUGGAGAACAAAGACUUAGAGAGACAUCCAUCCUUGAACCUGAACCACUUGUUGCUGGAGCAGGACACCGUGGAUUCCGAGGAGGGUGGACAAGUCACAGAUUAGAAACUGAUGAGGUUUCCAAACAAAUGGCACAACAUAAAGGCAUCAAAUUCCACUUUUCUAUGUACAUAUCAUCAAGGGGAACUGCUGAAAAACAGAUGCACUGAGAUGCUGACAUUUGCUUUUCUAUUAUUAAAGACUAACAAAUAAAACCUCGACUCUGACUUCCA
rnacentral:lncRNA from 1 species